UGAGGGACAUUUACAUCAGGGCUUGAAC
rnacentral:piRNA from 1 species